UACGUAGGGGCGAGCGUUAUCCGGAAUUAUUGGGCGUAAAGAGUGCGUAGGUGGUUGUUUAAGCGUGGGGUGAAAGGCAAUGGCUUAACCAUUGUGAGCCUCGCGAACUGGGCGACUUGAGUGCAGGAGAGGAAAGCGGAAUUCCUAGUGUAGCGGUGAAAUGCGUAGAUAUUAGGAGGAACACCGGUGGCGAAGGCGGCUGUCUGGCUGAGAACUGACGCUGAUGCGCGAAAGCGUGGGGAGCAAACAGGAUUAGAUACCCCCGGUAGUCCCU
rnacentral:rRNA from 1 species